GAUGAACGCUGGCGGCGUGCCUAAUACAUGCAAGUCGAACGAAACUUCUUUAUCACCGAGUGCUUGCACUCACCGAUAAAGAGUUGAGUGGCGAACGGGUGAGUAACACGUGGGCAACCUGCCCAAAAGAGGGGGAUAACACUGGGAAACAGGUGCUAAUACCGCAUAACCAAAGUUACCGCAUGGUAACUAUGUAAAAGGUGGCUAUACUACCGCUUUUGGAUGGGCCCGCGGCGCAUUAGCUAGUUGGUAGGGUAAAGGCUUACCAAGGCAAUGAUGCGUAGCCGAAUUGAGAGGUUGAUCGGCCACAUUGGGACUGAGACACGGCCCAAACUCCUACGGGAGGCAGCAGUAGGGAAUCUUCCACAAUGGGCGAAAGCCUGAUGGAGCAACGCCGCGUGGGUGAAGAAGGUCUUCGGAUCGUAAAACCCUGUUGUUAGAGAAGAAAGUGCGUGAGAGUAACUGUUCACGUUUCGACGGUAUCUAACCAGAAAGCCACGGCUAACUACGUG
rnacentral:rRNA from 1 species